rnacentral:rRNA from 1 species
AUUGAACGCUGGCGGCAGGCCUAACACAUGCAAGUCGAGCGGAUGAAGGGAGCUUGCUCCUGGAUUCAGCGGCGGACGGGUGAGUAAUGCCUAGGAAUCUGCCUGGGAGUGGGGGAUAACGUCCGGAAACGGGCGCUAAUACCGCAUACGUCCUGAGGGAGAAAGUGGGGGAUCUUCGGACCUCACGCUAUCAGAUGAGCCUAGGUCGGAUUAGCUAGUUGGUGGGGUAAAGGCCUACCAAGGCGACGAUCCGUAACUGGUCUGAGAGGAUGAUCAGUCACACUGGAACUGAGACACGGUCCAGACUCCUACGGGAGGCAGCAGUGGGGAAUAUUGGACAAUGGGCGAAUGCCUGAUCCAGCCAUGCCGCGUGUGUGAAGAAGGUCUUCGGAUUGUAAAGCACUUUAAGUUGGGAGGAAGGGCAGUAAGUUAAUACCUUGCUGUUUUGACGUUACCAACAGAAUAAGCACCGGCUAACUUCGUG